rnacentral:rRNA from 1 species
GACGAACGCUGGCGGCGUGCCUAAUACAUGCAAGUCGAGCGCAGGAAGUCAUCCGACCCCUUCGGGGGGACGUUGACGGAAUGAGCGGCGGACGGGUGAGUAACACGUAAAGAACCUGCCCUCAGGUCUGGGAUAACCACGAGAAAUCGGGGCUAAUACCGGAUGGGUCAUCGGACCGCAUGGUCCGAGGAUGAAAGGCGCUCCGGCGUCGCCUGGGGAUGGCUUUGCGGUGCAUUAGCUAGUUGGUGGGGUAAUGGCCCACCAAGGCGACGAUGCAUAGCCGACCUGAGAGGGGGAUCGGCCACACUGGGACUGAGACACGGCCCAGACUCCUACGGGAGGCAGCAGUAGGGAAUCUUCCACAAUGGACGAAAGUCUGAUGGAGCAACGCCGCGUGAACGAUGAAGGCCCUCGGGUCGUAAAGUUCUGUUGUAAGGGAAGAACAAGUGCCGCAGGCAAUGGCGGCACCUUGACGGUACCUUGCGAGAAAGCCACGGCUAACUACGUG